rnacentral:lncRNA from 1 species
GGUUGAAAAAGAAGAGGAGGGAACUGAAACAGUGAAAUGAUGUCUCCAUUUAAUCUGGAUCCCCAUAUGUGUAUUUGUCCUGUGUAUGCUAUCAUAUAAUGGAACCCUAAUAUGCAUUUCCACCCUUAUUUGGACUUCACACUUCCAUAUUCUUUUUUGCUUUUUACUAUGCAAGACUUUGACUCCACCCAAGAAACAAAAGAUUUUACAUCGCUACGGGAUUCCAUAUGUCUGUCUCAAUUGAAUUACAAAAGCUACACACAA